AGUACCGUGAGGGAAAGGUGAAAAGCACCCCGGAAGGGGAGUGAAAUAGAUCCUGAAACCGUGUGCCUACAACAAGUCAAAGCUCGUUAAUGAGUGAUGGCGUGCCUUUUGUAGAAUGAACCGGCGAGUUACGAUUGCAUGCGAGGUUAAGUCGAAGAGACGGAGCCGCAGCGAAAGCGAGUCUGAAUAGGGCGAAUGAGUAUGUAGUCGUAGACCCGAAACCAUGUGAUCUACCCAUGUCCAGGUUGAAGGUGCGGUAAAACGCACUGGAGGACCGAACCCACGUACGUUGAAAAGUGCGGGGAUGAGGUGUGGGUAGCGGAGAAAUUCCAAACGAACUUGGAGAUAGCUGGUUCUCUCCGAAAUAGCUUUAGGGCUAGCCUCGGAAUUGAGAAUGAUGGAGGUAGAGCACUGUUUGGACUAGGGGCCCAUCUCGGGUUACCGAAUUCAGAUAAACUCCGAAUGCCAUUCAUUUAUAUCCGGGAGUCA
rnacentral:rRNA from 1 species